UACCCUUUGUUGAUGGUACCUAGUCCCUC
rnacentral:piRNA from 1 species